CAGUCCUACUCGAAGCAUUCGGGUGUCCAUAUAGGCUGAGAGUCGUGGCAGAGCUGACAUUCACCCUGCAGACUUCAUAAUCGCAAUGGCUUUGCGCAGCACUGGUUCGCGUCUUCCCCUGCUGGUUGGGGUCAUGCUGGUGGUGGUGGUGUAUACUUCCCAACAAGCUCUGGCAGUCCCGGUACUGAGUGAUGGGUCUUCCAGCAGCAGUGGAAGCUAUACCAGUUUUGAAAGCUAUGGCAGCAGUGGAGUUAUGAAUCCAGUUCCAGUUCUGAGUAUGCAAGAAACCUUAGAGCUCUGAGUGAGGCAUCUUCAUUUGACAGCAGUUCUGAUGAAGACUCCUAUGGUUCAUCUGGUGGCUCCUACGGUUCAUCUGGUGAUUCCUACAGUGCAUCUAGUUCCUACUGAUUGCCAACAAUUGUAACCAGUCAAGCAAACCUAACACUAUGUAUAAUGAAAAGCAAUCAAACA